UACGAAGGGGGCUAGCGUUGCUCGGAAUUACUGGGCGUAAAGCGCACGUAGGCGGAUUGUUAAGUCGGGGGUGAAAUCCUGGAGCUCAACUCCAGAACUGCCUUCGAUACUGGCGAUCUCGAGUUCGGGAGAGGUGAGUGGAACUGCGAGUGUAGAGGUGAAAUUCGUAGAUAUUCGCAAGAACACCAGUGGCGAAGGCGGCUCACUGGCCCGAUACUGACGCUGAGGCACGAAAGCGUGGGGAGCAAGCAGG
rnacentral:rRNA from 1 species